rnacentral:tRNA from 1 species
GCCGUGGCUCAGUUGUAAAAGCAUCUGCUUGACAUGCAGAAGGCUCCAGGUUGGAUCUCUGGCAUCUUCG